rnacentral:rRNA from 1 species
UACGUAGGGUGCGAGCGUUGUCCGGAAUUAUUGGGCGUAAAGAGCUCGUAGGCGGUCUGUCGCGUCGGCUGUGAAAACCUGGGGCUCAACUCCAGGCCUGCAGUCGAUACGGGCAGACUAGAGUUCGGUAGGGGAGACUGGAAUUCCUGGUGUAGCGGUGAAAUGCGCAGAUAUCAGGAGGAACACCGGUGGCGAAGGCGGGUCUCUGGGCCGAAACUGACGCUGAGGAGCGAAAGCGUGGGGAGCGAACAGG